GGAGAGAUGGCAGAGUGGCCGAAUGCGCAUCAUUGCUAAUGAUGUGAUCCUGUCAAAGGGAUCCCAGGGUUCGAAUCCCUGUCUCUCCG
rnacentral:tRNA from 1 species